AUCAUCAUCCUCAUCCUCAUUUUCAAGCAGAUCCAAUGCAGAACUCCUCAUCCUGCCACCCUUAUUCGACUUCUUUUUCUUGUCCGUGAAAGUAAUAGGUUCAUCAUCUUCAUCUUUGUCUUCCUUCACAUCAUCAUUUUCAUUGACAAGCAGAUCGAAAGCAGAACUGUUCUUGCCACUCUUCUUUGAUUUCUUUUUCUUGUCUGUGAAAAUAACAGGUUCAUCUUCUUCAUCUUUGUCUUCCCUCACAUCCUCAUCUUCAUCAUCAAGAAGAUCAAAAGCAGAGGCCGAAAAUCCAGUAGUACCGCUCUUCUUCUUGCCACCUUUCUUUGACUUCUCCACCACAUCAUCAUCAUCAUCAUCACUCUCCUCCACAGAAUGAUCAUCAUCAAUCACCUCACUUUCACUACCACCAUCAACUGCAUCAAAAGCCGCUGCCGUAAACAGACUACCACUCUUAUUCCCACCUUUCUUCAAACCCUCCUUCGUUUUACCCUUACUCGCCAGAGAAAC
rnacentral:lncRNA from 1 species